CAUCUUGACGGUACCUAAUCAGAAAGCCACGGCUAACUACGUGCCAGCAGCCGCGGUAAUACGUAGGUGGCAAGCGUUAUCCGGAAUUAUUGGGCGUAAAGCGCGCGUAGGCGGUUUUUUAAGUCUGAUGUGAAAGCCCACGGCUCAACCGUGGAGGGUCAUUGGAAACUGGAAAACUUGAGUGCAGAAGAGGAAAGUGGAAUUCCAUGUGUAGCGGUGAAAUGCGCAGAGAUAUGGAGGAACACCAGUGGCGAAGGCGACUUUCUGGUCUGUAACUGACGCUGAUGUGCGAAAGCGUGGGGAUCAAACAGGAUU
rnacentral:rRNA from 1 species